GAGCCUGUGCCAGAGCAUGGAAGAUGUUUCCACGGAAAUCAGACACGGUGGUGUCAACAGGGACUGCAGGAGCUCAUCCUCCAUCGGGGUAGGGUUUGGAUGCUCAGAGCAGACCCACACAGCAACCGCCAGGGACAAAAAUAAACGCCUGCCAUUUGGAGGAGAAACCAUCCCACACACAGAGGGUGAGGUGGGCUUGGCAGGGAAACACAAGCACCACCUGCUGCUGCAAACGCUUGGCACGUGUCCCCAAGGAGAUCUAAGCAUGUGCCGAAGAGCUUCUCUCAUCUGGGCAGUUAUUGCACGGUUACUGCAGUUACUGCACAGCACUCUGGAAGAACUCACAGCUCUUUUAGCCAAUCUACUAAAGGAGAAGAAUCAUUCUGGAGCAAUUUGCUGCUAAAAUGAGGCUUCAGCAGAUGAUACGAGCAUCUUGAGAGACAGCACAGCACAAAACCCUUCUGCUCCACAGACCUGGAAAAGGCAGGUGCAUUUCAGAGAUUAAAUACACUUAAUUAAAAAUUAAAAAAAUUCCACCUCUAAGGAACUUUUCUUAAACAAAGUUUUUUGGCACAGCUCUUUCCUUGUAGCUGCAAUUUGACAGUGAACGCAUUGUAUGUCCUGAAAAAAAACUACAAUCCCAGUGGCAGAAAGACCAGAGAGGAAAAUUUUCAUCUGGCAGCAUGGGCUGCAUGCCUGAUAUGUGCUGUUUUGGUGAGGACAGAGCACCAAAGUGCACCUAGAAAGCUGCUUGUGAUGUGUUCAAGUUCUAUCCUGAUCAUCACAUUUAAUCAAAAUCAAGCCAAAAAAAAAUGGAAAUGCCUGGAACAAAAUCCUCAGUAUGAUGACUAAACACCAACUGCCCAAACUCAAACACAGUGGGAGUAAUUAGGACAGCAGAGCAAAGCCCCGUGUUUGAAGCUAACAAACUGAGAGCAGGCGGUAUGAGAAGGUCUGAGAUCUCCAACCCGUCCCAUUUCCCCACAGGCUCUCAGGAGCACCACGAUGUACAAACAGUGUCGUGGUAUUUAAUGCCAGAAGGGGCAGUGGGAUCAUCCAGCCUGAGCUCCCAUAUCACCAGGGCCAUGUACCUACACAUCUGGUCGAGACGUGUGUUAUUGAAAGUCACCUAAUUCCGACCUGAAGACCUUUUAUCAGGACAUGCCACCAUCUCCCAAGGACUUUGUGCCUUAAUUCAACCCCCUUAAAAUCCGAGCUUUUGCUCUAGAUGAUACAAUAACCUGUGUGAAUUGCUCCUUUCCUCUUGAAUCUGAGCUGAGCCUGAGCACUACUGUAAAAUCCUGAUUUGAUCCAGAAGGAACACAGAAUUGCUUCGGGCCAAGCUGAACCUGAACAGUGUCGAGGACAGCUGAGCUUCGACUGGAAAUUACUCAGUCCUCGUUGAAUCCAAACCAGGGAGAAGUCAGAUCGUCCUCUCCCACACCGGUGAGAUGUAAGAACUAAGUUUUCUUACCAUUUUUCAGCAUUGCCUGUAAGAGGUGCCCAUCCUAGCUGCGUGCAGACUGCCAUGGUCUCCUCACACAAGCAGCUGGAGACCGAUUCCUUCCUGGCCCCGCUCCCGGCACCUCCAGGAAUCGCAGCCCUUCCAGCAAAGCUGCCAGCUCGCUCCGAGCUCUGUCUCCAUCUGCCCACACUCAGCCUCCUCCAGCCACCUCUUAGGAGCUUACUGCGACUGAGAAGUCCUCGCAGGCUCCUGAAGGUCUCCUGCAGGCUGAGAACGACUGCAGAAGAAGGGAUGUUCCUCGCCACGGUGUGCCAGGGCUCAAGCUGCUGCAGAAGAGCAGCAAGGGAGAGAAAGGGGGAUCAUUUGUAGAGCAGCAGAGACAGGUCCAUGCAGGAGGUAUCUCAGAAAUGUAGGUGGUGAGUUACCCCAAGGGCAGCCAGGGCACCAGUUUGCAGUGACUCUCGGUCUGUGAAGCCCAACCAGGGAGGUUUGCUGAGGGACAAGCAGAAAUCCCAUGCCUACAAGCCCCCCUUUGGCACAAUGAGCCUCACAGGGUGACCACGGCUUUCCAAGGAGCCACCUCCCUGUUGGAUCUUCCCUUUUGGCAAAAGGCUGCUUGGGGCCACAGCAGCUUGGAGCUUUCUGCCUCCAUCUCUGGUCUCCAAAACCUCCAGACAACCCGAGCGGCACAGAUGGCCACGGUCAAAUCCCCCAUGCCACUGUCACAUCCACAAAACAGCCCCAAUCCCAAAAGGUCAGCCUGCUGGGUCCUGGUGGCAGGAUGUGUCCUGGGUCCUGGUGGCAGCCCCAAAGGACAGAGCAGGCUCUGCUCCAGCCACCCCCAGCGCUGGGUUAGUGCCCAGCAGGGAUUACAGCUGCGUGGGCUACGAGCUCCAAAAGGCGCGUGUUGAAUCCAGGGGCUGGCUCUUGGGAUCUGUCUGCCCCCAUCUGGCAUCUCCUGGGGAAACUGGGAUGCUCAGGAGGGGCCGAAGGGUCUGCUCCUUCCCUGUCUAGGAGAAGGCAAUGGACUGAAACAGGAAAAAUGAGAGAAAUGAACAUCAGCUGCUCAGUCCUACAACAGCUCUUAGAAAAAAAGGGGAUGUGGGGAACCCAGGCAGAUCCCCAUUAAGCUGAUGCCCUGCCACGGCCAAUCCAUGUCAGGUCCCAGCAAGAUCCCAACAGCCAGUGCAUCCCUACAUCGUGGAGGGGCCAGGGGACAGAAAAAGGACGUGUCCUUAUCCCUGGUUUACACGCAGAGGCCAGAGCCAGGUGGGACCCUCCUGGGGGAGGCAGGCCCUGCUCAGGCCGUGCUGGUGUGAGACGGUCCUGCCUCCUCCUGAAACGCCUGGGGAAAAUUAUAAAUUGCUUUUCCUCUGCUCUUCCCCAACUGGGAUUAUUGACCGUGGUCAGGCCGGUGGCUCAGAGCUUGCUAAUGAAUUGUAAUUGGAAAGAAGCUGCACUUUGACACGUUUUAUUUUAUUUAUGUCAGAAUUCGCCAUGCGUUAAGCCAGGGGCUCAUUAAAUUAGCGAGGCAGACAGUUCC
ensembl:lncRNA